rnacentral:rRNA from 1 species
CACGUAGGGCGCAAGCGUUGUCCGGAAUUAUUGGGCGUAAAGAGCUUGUAGGUGGUUUGUCGCGUCUGCUGUGAAAAUCCGAGGCUCAACCUCGGACUUGCAGUGGGUACGGGCAGACUAGAGUGUGGUAGGGGAGACUGGAAUUCCUGGUGUAGCGGUGAAAUGCGCAGAUAUCAGGAGGAACACCGAUGGCGAAGGCAGGUCUCUGGGCAUUAACUGACGCUGAGGAGCGAAAGCAUGGGGAGCGAACAGG